GUUGUCGUGGCCGAAUGGUUAAGGCGAUGGACCAGAAAUAUUUUGGGAUCUUCCCGCGCAGGUUCGAUUCCUGCCGACAUCG
rnacentral:tRNA from 1 species